rnacentral:rRNA from 1 species
CACGGAGUUAGCCGGUGCUUAUUCGUAUAGUACCUUCAGCUACUCUCACGAGAGUAGGUUUAUCCCUAUACAAAACGAAGUUUACAACCCAUAGGGCCGUCGUCCUUCACGCGGGAUGGCUGGAUCAGGCGCUAACCCAUUGUCCAAUAUUCCUCACUGCUGCCUCCCGUAGGAGUCUGGUCCGUGUCUCAGUACCAGUGUGGGGGAUCACCCUCUCAGGCCCCCUAAAGAUCACUGACUUGGUAGGCCGUUACCCUACCAACUAUCUAAUCUUGCGCGUGCCCCAUCUCUAUCCACCGGAGUUUUCAAUAUUAAAUGAUGCCAUCUAAUAUAUUAUGGGGUUAUUAAUCUUCCUUUCGAAAGGCUAUCCCCCUGAUAAAGGCAGGUUGCACACGUGUUCCGCACCCGUACGCCGCUCUCUCUGUCCCGAAAGCAAAUACCGCUCGGCUUGCAUGUGUUAGGCCUCCCGCUAGCGUUCAUCCUGAGCCAGGAUCAAACUC